UCUGGUCCUGCAAUUUUCCGCACUGGUUCCUGGCUUGACAGCUAACGAGCUGAAAACUUCUCUUUGUGAGCCUCAGAGGUAUGUAAUUGACUUAAGAGGAAUAACUGGCAUUUGUCCUUUUAUUUUUAUUUUUUUUUUGCAUGUAAAGUUAUGCCAUGCACUUAGAUCACCUUUACUGAAAUCUUACUUGGCAUAUUCAUUGCAUGCUUGGUUGCUGAAUUUUUCUUGCACAGAAGAGCACUGAUGACAGAAAAAAAAUUGCUGUGCCUUCCUAGUAUCUUCUUACAUUGCAGACUCCUCACAGUGUCCAAAACACAACAGCAGCAUUAGUACGAGUAGUUGAACUAACACAGCUGAUCUAAAAAUUAAUGACAAACUUAAUAUUUUAAAUUUGAACUUUGGAGAAAGCACUUCUCAAUUAGAAGGACAGAAAACCUCUUCUCCCUGCACGGUCUAGGCCUUCUGGAUACGUUUCACCUUGCAGUCCAAACAGCCUUCAGAAAGAAAAACACCAAAGUUUUGAAGAAAAGCCUGAGAAAAUGCACAAACCACUAGAAGCCCAUGUGGAAGGACUGUCACUUAAAAAUUUCAGUCUAGUGCAGAAGGACCAAGAAGCUCAGAUGAAUAAAUACCCCAGUUCUACCUCUCAAUCAUCUGGGUCACCAAAUGAGCCAGCCCAGUGCACUUGCCAGCUAAGAAACAAGUGGUCAAGUAUCUGGAAAUCUCACUUCAUUCUGCACUGAAAAAUUAAGAGAUCAUGAUCAGCCAUACUGACUUACUUCAGAUUAUGGAAAAGCACUAAAAAGAGUAAGCUGGAGGUCUCUAUGACCAAGAGCACGGGAGCAGAGAAGCCCAGGUGUCCCACCCUGCUGCACCAGAGGUGCACACACAAGGAGGCACCACUUUCUACGUUCAGCAGUUACGUUUAGAGGGGCUAUGUGGAGUGCCCUGCUCCCGGCAUCAUCGAAGGCUGAGUAUUCACCAGAGCAUCCCUUGCCAUGGAUGUCUCCCUACACAGCCCACAGACAGCACCAGAAUUUCCCAGAAACUGGCAGAAUCUGCAGUAUGGCAGGACUCAUCUAUAGGGGCUAAAAGAGAAAGCCUCAUCACCAGAAAGAAACCUGAAACCAUUCUUGUGUUCUUCCUUCUCUACGGGUAA